rnacentral:rRNA from 1 species
AUUGAACGCUGGCGGCAGGCCUAACACAUGCAAGUCGAGCGGAUGAAGGGAGCUUGCUCCUGGAUUCAGCGGCGGACGGGUGAGUAAUGCCUAGGAAUCUGCCUGGUAGUGGGGGAUAACGUCCGGAAACGGGCGCUAAUACCGCAUACGUCCUGAGGGAGAAAGUGGGGGAUCUUCGGACCUCACGCUAUCAGAUGAGCCUAGGUCGGAUUAGCUAGUUGGUGGGGUAAAGGCCUACCAAGGCGACGAUCCGUAACUGGUCUGAGAGGAUGAUCAGUCACACUGGAACUGAGACACGGUCCAGACUCCUACGGGAGGCAGCAGUGGGGAAUAUUGGACAAUGGGCGAAAGCCUGAUCCAGGCAUGCCGCGUGUGUGAAGAAGGUCUUCGGAUUGUAAAGCACCUUAAGUUGGGAGGAAGGGCAGUAAGUUAAUACCUUGCUGUUUUGACGUUACCAACAGAAUAAGCACCGGCUAACUUCGUG